CGAACCGUCCUGACCGCGUAGCUCAGUUGGAAGAGCAUUGGGCUAGUAUUCCAAAGGUCGUAGGUUCGAAUCCCACCGUGGCCGGGCAUAUUUUUCAAGCUCGCCCGGUGUGGAUAUGCACUCAGAGCAACAUCGCAAACAUAUUAUUCACCUGAGUACACAACACCAACACAGAAAAAAAAAAUUCAUAUUACUAGAACACAUUGGUAUUGAAGGAACUAGAUACUGUUCCGAAAUAUCACUUACUCGAACCGUCCUGACCGCGUAGCUCAGUUGGAAGAGCAUUGGGCUAGUAUUCCAAAGGUCGUAGGUUCGAAUCCCACCGUGGCUGGGCAUAUUUUUCAAGCUCGUCCGGUGUGGAUAUGCACUCAGAGUAACAUCGCAAACAUAUUAUUCACCUGAGUACACAACACCAACACAGAAAAAUUCAUAUUACUAGAACACAUUGGUAUUGAAGGAACUAGAUAAUGUUCCGAAAUAUCACUUACUCGAACCGUCCUGACCGCGUAGCUCAGUUGGAAGAGCAUUGGGCCAGUAUUCCAAAGGUCGUAGGUUCGAAUCCUACCGUGGCCGGGCAUAUUUUUCAAGCUCGCCCGGUGUGGAUAUGCACUCUGAGUAACAUCGCAAACAUAUUAUUCACCUGAGUACACAACACCAACACAGAGAAAAAAAAAUUCAUAUUACUAGAACAUAUUGGUAUUGAAAGAACUAGAUACUGUUCCGAAAUAUCACUUACUCGAACUGUCCUCACCGCGUAGCUCAGUUGGAAGAGCAUUGGGCUAGUAUUCCAAAGGUCGUAGGUUCGAGUCGGGCCGUGGCCGGGCAUGUUUUUCAAGCUCGCCCGGUGUAGAUAUGCACUCAGAGUAACAUCGCAAACAUAUUAUUCACCUGAGUACAGAACACCAACACAGAGAAAAAAAAAAUUCAUAUUACUAGAACAUAUUGGUAUUGAAGGAACUAGAUACUGUUCCGAAAUAUCACUUACUCGAACCGUCCUGACCGCGUAGCUCAGUUGGAAGAGCAUUGGGCUAGUAUUCCAAAGCUCGUAGGUUCGAAUCCCACCGUGGCCGGGCAUAUUUUUCAAGCUCGCCCGGUGUGGAUAUGCACUCAGAGUAACAUGGCAAACAUAUUAUUCACCUGAGUACACAACACCAACACAGAGAAAAAAAAAAAUUCAUAUUACUAGAAGAUAUUGGUAUUGAAGGAACCAGAUACUGUUCCGAAAUAUCACUUACUCGAACCGUCCUGACUGCGUAGCUCAGUUGGAAGAGCAUUGGGCUAGUAUUCCAAAGGUCGUAGGUUCAAAUCCCACCGUGGCCGGGCAUAUUUUUCAAGCUCGCCCGGUGUGGAUAUGCACUCAGAGUAACAUCGCAAACAUAUUAUUCACCUGAGUACACAACACCAGCACAGAAAAAAAAAAUUCAUAUUACUAGAACAUAUUGGUAUUGAAGGAACUAGAUACUGUUCCGAAAUAUCACUUACUCGAACCGUGCUGACCACGUAGCUCAGUUGGAAGACCAUUGGCCUAGUAUUCCAAAGGUCGUAGGUUCGAAUCCCACCGUGGCCGGGCAUAUUUUUCAAGCUCGCCCGGUGUGGAUAUGCACUCAGAUUAACAUGGCAAACAUAUUAUUCACCUGAGUACACAACACCAACACAGAGAAAAAAAAAUUCAUAUUAGUAGAACAUAUUGGUAUUGAAGGAACUAGAUACUGUGCCGAAAUAUCACUUACUCGAACCGUCCUGACCGGGUAGCUCAGUUGGAAGAGCAUUGGGCUAGUAUUCCAAAGGUCGUAGGUUCGAAUCCCAGCAUGGCCGGGCAUAUUUUUCAAGUUCGCCCGGUGUGGAUAUGCACUCAGAGUAACAUCGCAAACAUAUUAUUCACCUGAGUACACAACACCAACACAGAAAAAAAAAAUUCAUAUUACUAGAACAUAUUCGUAUUGAAGCAACUAGAUACUGUUCCGAAAUAUCACUUACUCGAACCGUCCUGACCGCGUAGCUCAGUUGGAAGAGCAUUGGGCUAGUAUUCCAAAGGUCGUAGGUUCGAAUCCCACCGUGGCCGGGCAUAUUUUUCAAGCUCGCCCGGUGUGGAUAUGCACUCAGAGUAACAUCGCAAAACAUAUUAUUCACCUGAGUACACAACACCAGCACAGAAAAAAAAUUCAUAUUACUAGAACACAUUGGUAUUGAAGGAACUAGAUACUGUUCCGAAAUAUCACUUACUCGAACCAUGCUGACCGCGUAGCUCAGUUGGAAGAGCAUUGGGCUAGUAUUCCAAAGGUCGCAGGUUCGAAUCCCACCGUGGCCGGGCAUAUUUUUCAAGCUCGCCCGGUGUGGAUAUGCACUCAGAGUAAC